GGGUUUCUGCCUUUUUCUCUUUUUGCAGUGGCCCUUUGACAGGGCUGGCCUUCUCGGAGUUCUCUGCAGAUUUCAUUCAGUGGCCUGCAUGUGAAUUGGAACAAACUUGGUCAUUGUUUGUCUUCCUGCUGUGACAGCCAGGAAUGUUUUCUCAUUGGUGGAAAAUGCCCCACUAAUCCAUCACUUUCAAAGUUGUCCGGGGUUCUUUGUUGGCUCUAGAAGAAAAAUAAUAGACUCUAAUCAAGCACCUUAAAUAUUCAAUAUAAUUAGAGGAGAAACGAAUGGAUUUUGUAAACUCCUAUUGAUACUAAAUUCUACUUGCAGUUAGUCUUGGACAUAAAUUUCAGAAAAUUACAUGUAAAUGUACUCAUUAGUGCACUAUAGUAUUGAACAUCUAUUUUGUCUCUGGGUAAUUUUUCUUUUCUUAGCACAAAAACUAUUUCUACUUAUUAAAAAUAGUAAUUGAUUUUCAAUUUUUUUUCACAACUGUUUUUUUUUUCCAGUUCCAUUUCAUCUCCGCAUUUUGGCUUAUGCAUUCCAAAAAUAUUUUCCUAGGAUUCGUUAAAGGAUUACAUUAUACUCUAAUAAUUUUGAGGAUAAAGGGGAGGAAGGGCAGAUGUAUUAUUACUAGAAAAACCCUGUUAACUGGAGUGGGCCCAGAAAGCAAACCUUGGAAUGAUAAAUUGAAUGGUGUUAUGCUAAGGAGCUGAUUAUACUGUAUAUUGUUCCAUCUGAACAUCAUGGAUCUUAUUUUAUAAUUAAAUGUUUUGAUGAAGCCCUAACUAAAUAGUGCUAGAGUCAAAACAUGGCUUUAUUAAGGGACUCUAAAACUUACAAAUCAGCCACAUAGAUUAGAAUGCUUUGUGCAUUCUUUUAAAUGCAUGUUUGAUUUCUACUCAAGUGUGAAUUUAAGAAAAAGCAAAAGAAAUAUUUCUCAAUAAGCAUUUGAUGAUAAUUUUAAUUAAGCUUUGUUUAUUUCAAAUCACUAUUAUUUACUGGUAUAUAAGACAUGUUCUAUCC
rnacentral:lncRNA from 1 species